rnacentral:rRNA from 1 species
AACGAACGCUGGCGGCAGGCUUAACACAUGCAAGUCGAACGGGCGUAGCAAUACGUCAGUGGCGGACGGGUGAGUAACACGUGGGAAUAUGCCUUUCGGUUCGGAACAACUCGGGGAAACCCGUGCUAAUUCCGGAUACGCCCUUACGGGGAAAGGAUUUAUCGCCGAAAGAUUAGCCCGCGUUGGAUUAGCUAGUUGGUGAGGUAAAGGCUCACCAAGGCGACGAUCCAUAGCUGGUUUGAGAGAACGACCAGCCACACUGGGACUGAGACACGGCCCAGACUCCUACGGGAGGCAGCAGUGGGGAAUCUUGGACAAUGGGCGCAAGCCUGAUCCAGCCAUGCCGCGUGAGUGAUGAAGGCCUUCGGUUGUAAA